GCAGUGCAAGGCAAGUUGUAUCAAAGGGCCAUGUGCGCAUUCCCUUGUUUGGAAAGACCAAGCAGCAUUUUUCUGCCUGCAUGUCUGCCUGUUCUAUAAAAAGCUGUGCAUUUGUGCCAAGUUCCUAAAAGCUCUGCAUGUCAGGAAGGUCUCAUGGCACUCUCUUGACUGCAUCACAGAAGCCCUUCACCUCUUACUGUACCUUCAUAUCAGUGGAAUAUCCUUUGCUAUUUCUGUACGUACAGUGCAGCGUGUAAGUGCUUGGACAGUGACACAAUUCUUGUUGUUUUGGCUCUGUACUCCAGCACACUGGAUUUGAAAUGAAACAAUGAAUAUGAGGUAAAGUGCAUACUGUCAGCUUGAUUUGAGGGCGUUUACAUCCAUAUCGUGAUCCAUGUAGGAAUCACAGUGUUAUUUAUACAUAGUCCCCCCAAAUUCAGGUGAGCAACUGACUGCUCAGCUGCGCAAAUACUUAACGCACUGUUCUGCAAACGCGCAGAUGCCCAAGCCCUUGCCUCCAAGAAAUGUAACUGCUCAGUGCAUUUACAUGGUGGAUGGUUUAUGUCCGUCCGCCCAUUAUCUAACCCGCCUAUCCCUCGUCACCGUCACAGGGGGUGCUUGGAGCCUAUGCCAUCAUGCAUUGGGCAAGAAGCAGGAAUACCCCCAUGGACAGGUCACCGAUACAUCACAGGGCACGCACACUAUUUACUCACACAUUCAUAUCUAGGGGCCAUUCAGAAUGUCCGAUUAACCUAGCCUGCAUGUCUUUGUACUGUGGUAGGAAAACGGAGUUGGUUUUUGUCCAAAACACAUUCUUUGUCCACAGCACAUUUGUGAUGAUGAAGUCGGCAAUAAAAAGAACGAAAGAACGCAAAAUAACCCACGUUUGGGGCUUUGUUGUGUUGAGGCGUGUUGAGUUGUAUGUGAAUAUUGUGUGUUUACAUGACGUCGGAAGGUACAGAAGUUAAUGUUCUUUUAAGGGCUGAAAGUCUGUGGUCAUUGUGAAUAUUUCUGUAGGAAACUCUGAAAAGUGACAAACUCAGUGCUGUAUAGGUAAGUGGCAUGCCCCGCCAAGACAUAACAUGGGGAAUGGCAUAUCUGCUUCUGAACUGUGAUCUACCCCCGGUAAGUGUUACAAUUUUUGAUCUGAUUUGUCUCGACGGAUAUUUUGGGAACGUGCUGAUCUCCACCUGUGCAAUGAUAUGCUUUGACCACUAGAUGUCAGCAUGAAGAAAGAGCUGGAGCAGGAGACAUGAAAGAUAACUGUAAACACAGCGAUUUCGAAGGUCUGUAUUGCUGAGUCUUUUGGUUCUGCACAGAAGUCACAAAAACAUGGAAGGACAAAGGAAAUGAUUCAGCAACUUCAGACGUCCUUUCAAAAAUAUGUCACUUGCUAUCAUAAGUUUCUUAGCAGUAAAAUUAUAUUUUUUAACCAAUUGCCCAAAGUACAUUGUCAAGAGAAGCCCGUUGACUUAAAAAAAGAAGGGAAGGAGGAAGAGAUCUGAAGAAUAACAAUGGGUAUAAACACUGGAGGUUCAGCUUCUCAACAGAAAGUAAACACCAACUCGGGAGGAGCAAUCUGACAGUUUGCUGACUAGAGACAUUCUCACAGAGGUGCAAAAGUCACAUACCGAGAGAAAAUGAGAGACCGACAGAGGGAGAGGGUGAGAGAGCAAGAUGGAAAUGGAUCGACAAAUGAAAUACUAAUUUGAUUGUUGCUGACAUUUGAAACAGCCAUAUGCCUUUAAUGGCUGCAAUCACAAUUACAACAACAUAUAAAUUAUUAUUAAGCGCUGUUACGUCCCUGCCUCUGCUUGCCUGGGUAGUGCAGGUGGAGGUAGUUGCUUAAUUACCUAAUUGCCUGAUUGCCUCCACCUGCCUGUGGCCCAAUAUAAGCCCUGCAGUAUGAGGCUGGGGAGAUUUUUCUUUUGGGGCUUUCGUGUUUGUGUAGAGUCUUUCUUUGAGAUCUUCUUGUGGGUUUCUUUUGUGUGUGGCUUGCUUUGUGUUUUUGGUGCUUGUGAAGAUCCUUUUAUUGUGUGAACCUUGUGCGUUUUAGUUUGAUUUAGUUUGGGCCUUAGUUUGUAAUUUAGAUUAAUAAAUGUCUGGGUUUGUUUUUAUAUCAAAAACGAUCCAAAAACUGAUCUA